CGGAAAAGUCUCCGAAUUGGAUCGAGGUUUUGGCUAGCCCCCCAUUGUCAGACGUCCCGAGCGCGUUCCCGAAGUCGGAAUCGGCAAAGGUGAGCCGGGACAGCCUUCUUCCUCCGCCCAGCCGCCUCAGUGACCAUCGUCAAGUUUGUGAGUAGAAUAUUAAUUUUAAUUAUAAUUUCGAUAUUAUUAUAUGUUCAAGCAUGCCCAUGCAUCACUUAUAUGCAUAUAUUUAUGUAGUUAAACUCUAGGCACGAUUUAUGUUGCAUUCAUAACUGUUGAUGUGCCAUGGAUGUUGUUGUGGUAAUUUGGAGCAGUGUGCGUGCGUUGGCGUGCGUGUGAUGUGGUGUGGACUAUGGAUAGGACGGGGCAGUCACGGCUUGAGUAAUUCGCUGGGACCCGAUCCUUCGAGGGGUAGUCACGGCUUGAGUAAUUCGCUGGGACCCUCGAUUUGGUUAUUAAGUGGAAGUCCGAGCUUGAGUAAUUC